AGUCUCGGUAUUGAAAACAAAUUCAAAUUCAAAAUCCUCUUUGUCUUAGUUCCUCCCUCUCUCUCUUUCUCGGAUACAAGAACAACAGAAAAAACAAAAGAAUUAUAUAUAUGGAAUUCCAUAAAGUUAUAAAGGAAGAAGAGACAGUAGCUACAAAUCGAUCUCACUCCAAACAUGAUGUAUAAAUGUAGGAAGAGAGCGUUGCGUUUUGAUUUUUCUAUGUUCUUUAACAUCUCAUUUUCUACAUUCACAACAAGGGUAUAUGGAUUUAGGACCUGGACAAAGAAGUAAGUUGUAUGGAUUAAUUAACCUUCUCUAUUGUAGAAUGUAGAACAUAUACUUGGGUUCAAAAAGCAAAUGUAUGAAAUUACCAAUGUAUGAAAUUCGAUAUGCCUACUAUGCCAGUUUUCGUAUUUGACAGAUAUCUACAGAUGAAAUUUUAAGCAUCACUCUCUAGGAUACCAAAUGGUCUGCCAGAGAAAUCAAGUCAUUUUCUCUCUGUCAGAAUCGGAAGCAACCUACUUGAGUCCUCCAAUACUAACACCUUCAAUAUAUGGAGAAGCAACUAACUCAAUCUGGAUUUUUCAUCGCGCAAUCUUUUCUUCCUGUCAUUCCAUACACCGUAUAAGCUGUGAAGUUUGUAUUUGGUAGCCUCGCUUGUUUAUUGGCGAUGGGUAAUAAUGGUGAACCCAACAUUGAACGAGAAACUAAUCGUACAAAGGUCCUUAACUUUCUAUGGUCUGUGUAUCGUAUUCGUAAGUACCACAAGGACAUUGGACGUAUUAUUUCAAAUGACGGACAGACAUGAUAGAUAGACGAAGAUGGACAUCAAAGAAACAGAAUGAAACAAAUGACUCAGAAGCAAGUUGACAUGGAACACAAAGUUCAAAGAAGUCUGGUGAAGAGGGCAAGGGAGGAAGAAGAGCAAAGAUGGACAAUUAACCAGAAAGAUAAGCCUGGAUAUUUUAUUCAAUGAAUGAAGUGCAUUGACAUUUCUUAUUUCAUCAUUAAUAUAGCAAAUGACGGACAUACAUGAUAGAUAGACGAAGAUGGAUACCAAAGAAACAGAAUGAAACAAAUGACUCAGAAGCAAGUUGACAUGGAACACAAAGUUCAAAGAAGGCUAGCGAUGAGGGCAAGGGAGGAAGAAGAGCAAAGAUGGACAAUUAACCAGAAAGAUAAGCCUGGAUAUUUUAUUCAAUGAGUAUCUUUGGGAUGAGCACACAGGGGUGAAUCGCGAAGUGCUUGGUUACGCACUGGAUGGGGCAGAUGACACAAUGAAGAAAACAGUGAAGAGAGCAAUGACUGGGACGAAAAUGACGAUAACAAGACAGAGAGGGAAAUGUAGAUGAAGACUAGGAUAUAUAAUACUCCGUAUUAGACUAAUGAUGAGUUUUGGGGUUUUGCAGGUAAGUUUUUGGUACACAGAUUUUAACGUUCUUAAUUUGCCAAGUUGAACUAUUUGAAUGCAUCGACAAAAACACCAACUUAUGCAUGAAAUGUGAGCUCGAACGUCAUGCGCAACGCACGUCCCCUUUACUAGUAGCAUAAUCUGAAGCAUCAUACAUGAUCUUAAAAGGUGGGUUCUAUUUAGGUGUCUGUACUUUGGG